CGUUUAAACACCAGUUCCUGUAUGAUCACCAAAGUUAAGCAACAUCAUGCCUGGUCAGUACUUAGAUGGAUGACCACUCGAGAAUAUCAGGUGUUGUAAG